rnacentral:miRNA from 15 species
ACAGGCACAGCUGGUUUGAGC